AUUGUAUGUCCAGCUUCCAACUCGUGCCUCAGAGGAAAUACACUGACAACUUCAAAACUUGGCCAUCAAAGACAGACUAUUGUGCCCCUGGAUCUGAAUGGAUCCCUGCAACAGCCAACCUGGAAAAUACUGCAUCCACAUCGGCUUCUCUUUUGCCAAUCUCUGGAGAAGGGGAAACCACGGAUUCCUGGGCCAGAAGGGGAUUACCGCAAUGGCUUCUGCUUUUUCUCGUCUUUUUUUUUUUUUUUUAACACCAUCCAAAUUAAUGUAUAUGUGGGAAGCACAUAAAUUAGGCCUUUUGAAUAAUCUUGUUUUAGGCCACUGCAUCCUUGCAGGGGAAUCUUGAAAAGAGA